rnacentral:rRNA from 1 species
GACGUAGGGCGCGAGCGUUGUCCGGAUUUAUUGGGCGUAAAGAGCUCGUAGGCGGCUUGUCGCGUCGUCCGUGAAAACCUGCAGCUCAACUGCAGGCUUGCGGUCGAUACGGGCAGGCUAGAGUUCGGUAGGGGAGACUGGAAUUCCUGGUGUAGCGGUGAAAUGCGCAGAUAUCAGGAGGAACACCGGUGGCGAAGGCGGCCCUCUGGACCGGUACUGACGCUGAUGCGCGAAAGCGUGGGGAGCAAACGGG